CCUACGGGAGGCAGCAGUGAGGAAUAUUGGUCAAUGGGCGAGAGCCUGAACCAGCCAAGUCGCGUGAGGGAGUACUGCCCUAUGGGUUGUAAACCUCUUUUGUCGGGGAGCAAAAGCCGGACGUGUCCGGCUGUGAGAGUACCCGAAGAAAAAGCAUCGGCUAACUCCGUGCCAGCAGCCGCGGUAAUACGGAGGAUGCGAGCGUUAUCCGGAUUUAUUGGGUUUAAAGGGUGCGCAGGCGGAUUUUUAAGUCAGCGGUAAAAUCGUGGGGCUCAACCCCAUCCAGCCGUUGAAGCUGGGGAUCUAGAGUGUGCUAGAGGUAUGCGGAAUGCGUGGUGUAGCGGUGAAAUGCAUAGAUAUCACGCAGAACCCCGAUUGCGAAGGCAGCAUACCGGUGCACAACUGACGCUCAGGCACGAAAGCGUGGGUAUCGAACAGGAUUAGAUACCCCUGUAGUC
rnacentral:rRNA from 1 species